rnacentral:rRNA from 1 species
GACGAACGCUGGCGGCGUGCCUAAUACAUGCAAGUAGAACGCUGAAGGAGGAGCUUGCUUCUCUGGAUGAGUUGCGAACGGGUGAGUAACGCGUAGGUAACCUGCCUGGUAGCGGGGGAUAACUAUUGGAAACGAUAGCUAAUACCGCAUAAUAGUAGAUGUUGCAUGACAUUUGCUUAAAAGGUGCAAUUGCAUCACUACCAGAUGGACCUGCGUUGUAUUAGCUAGUUGGUGGGGUAACGGCUCACCAAGGCGACGAUACAUAGCCGACCUGAGAGGGUGAUCGGCCACACUGGGACGGAGACACGGCCCAGACUCCUACGGGAGGCAGCAGUAGGGAAUCUUCGGCAAUGGACGGAAGUCUGACCGAGCAACGCCGAGUGAGUGAAGAAGGUUUUCGGAUCGUAAAGCUCUGUUGUAAGAGAAGAACGAGUGUGAGAGUGGAAAGUUCACACUGUGACGGUAUCUUACCAGAAAGGGACGGCUAACUACGUG